rnacentral:rRNA from 1 species
CCUACGGGCGGCAGCAGUGGGGAAUAUUGGGCAAUGGGCGCAAGCCUGACCCAGCAACGCCGCGUGAAGGAAGAAGGCUUUCGGGUUGUAAACUUCUUUUCUCAGGGACGAAUUUUGACGGUACCCGAAGAAUAAGCUCCGGCUAACUACGUGCCAGCAGCCGCGGUAAUACGUAGGGAGCAAGCGUUAUCCGGAUUUACUGGGUGUAAAGGGCGUGUAGGCGGGCAUGCAAGCCAGAAGUGAAAUCUGGGGGCUUAACCCCCAAACUGCUUUUGGAACUGCGUGUCUUGAGUGAUGGAGAGGCAGGCGGAAUGCCCAGUGUAGCGGUGAAAUGCGUAGAUAUUGGGAGGAACACCAGUGGCGAAGGCGGCCUGCUGGACAUUAACUGACGCUGAGGCGCGAAAGCGUGGGGAGCAAACAGGAUUAGAUACCCUUGUAGUC